CUUCCUCCCCCCACACAGAACUGCCAGCAGCAGAGUCUGAGUCUUUGUGCUCUUCAUGCGAGGGCCGGUACAGUCAUGGGGUCUCUCUGCUGGGGGCUGCAUCUCCACACUGCUCUGCUGCUCCUCUUUAACACAGAUCCAUAUGAAGCAAUAUAUUCACAUUCAACUGAAAACCUGACAGUAUCUGUGGGAGAGGAAGUUAUCUUAUUCUGCAAUUAUUCAAUUUCAGAUUUAACCCAGAUUAACUGGAGGAGGAACCAUACAUUAAUUUUUACAUAUGGUAAAAAGAACCAAACACAGAAUAACUGCACCUCGGACAGAGUAUGUGUUGAUUUAAAUGAACCUAGAAAUCUGCGGAUCUCUUCAGUACGGAUGUCUGAUGAGGGAAUCUACAGCUGCACAUUCACCACUUGCAGGGGUACAUACAUAAAAGAGUGGAGAAUAAGCGUUAACGACACAAAGAAUGCUCCUCACUCUCAGAUGAAAAAUAUGAUUGAGUUUGUCGCAACUGCCGCGGCCGGAGUUACAGUCAUUGUAGGAAUUUGCUGCGCUCUCAUAUGCUACAGAGCUUUGAAGAAUAUACCGAACCGAAAUUGCCCAGAUACCUACAACACAGAAGGGACGGACACCGGACGCCGAAGAGCUCAGAGAGUCACCGGCGAUCAGUAUAUUGAGAGAAUAAAUUCAGUAUACGGGACUUCAGGACAAAACCGUGCCUAACACCUCGUUUUAUUUAAAAAAAAUCGGUUGUUCUUUUUUAAUGUCACAAAAUAGUCUGCAGUGUUUGAAUGUUGUGGAGCCUCGCAGGAAAUUAUUACUGAGGUAGGCAACUACCGGAACGUUAACAUAUCUGUCCAGCUAACAGGGGACGUCACCAGAACUUUAGCCAAACAUUAUUUAAAGCUCUUCUCAAAGCUGCCAAAGAAAGCUCCUAAUGUACUGGAACGUGAUUUCCACAUCUUACAUUUUAACAGAAGUUCUGUCAGUGUAUGAUAGCAUUAUUACCCGAACAUCCUUUUAACAUGUUGUUGUAAAAUAGUUUUAUAAUAAAACUUAUUUUAUAAAAUAUAUGUAUAUUGUAAAUGCACAAUCCACCCUUGGACCCAUGACCUUAAAGGUGCACAACCACAGUGCGACCUGCUGCUGUUCUAGGCCCGUUCUUUUUAUGUUAUUAGUUUUAGUUGUAGUGGUGAGAUAAGGUUCUGGGAACUUUAGUAAAACUGAGCACUUUGAACGUUUCCGUACUUUAAUCGUAAUGUUCGGCAAACGUUCCUAGAACGAAAAAUUAACUGGGUAGUAAUUGCGAUCGAAUUAAAAAUAGUGACAUUUAACGAAGACUGGACUACCUCCUGCCCAAAUGUGAUGUUUGGCAUGAAAGCCAUGCAAUAUUAUUCCGUUCAAGCUACUGCAUGUUGAUGUCUUUGUUUUAUAAUAAAAAUAUUUCGCAUA